rnacentral:tRNA from 1 species
GCCGAGAUAGCUCAGUUGGUAGAGCAACGGUUUUGUAAACCGUAGGUNNUCGCGAUCUUUCGUUUCAUGGGGCCCCA